CCCCUCUCCUCAGGCCGACAAGUGGGUCCCCAACCCCCAGCCAACUCGAGCCAGAGCAGCCGCCCGCCAUGGCCGCCCACUCCACUGCAAAAUCCGCCACCUCCUGUCCCUCGCGCUCGCGUCUAACCGUCGGGAUGUGGUCGCCGCCCACUCCUCCACCAUUCCCCCCACUUUCCCCCAAAAAAAUGGCGCCGGAUUGACCCGCCACGAGCCCACGUCGCCACCCCAUGUCGCCGGUCGUUGCCGCCCAAAAUUCGUCCCAUCCCGGCCGUAUCAAAGCUCCCCGAGCCUAUAUAAAGCACCCUCGUGCCCUUCUCAUCUGUUUCCCCAUUUUCCCGAGCUCUCCCGUGCCCGGAAACCACCCCGCUACCGUCGCACCUCCCUCCGCCGCCCGCCGGCGCGUUCCAACCGCCUGUCACCGCCGCCCUAACCCUCGCCGCAUUGUGACGCCACCACCACCGGCUUCACCGCCGGAGGGCAAGACCGGCCACCACUUCCCCUCCCCAAACCGCCGCUGAAACCCCGCCGCCACCACCAACCCGAGCCACCGCCGCCUCCCGCCGGCGAGCGUCGCCUCGCCCGGCCAUGUCGCCGCCACCCACAGCGCCGCCACGCCCCACCGCACCCCGUCCACUGCUCCUCUUCCCCAAUCCAUUUCCGAAACGCCGCCACCACGUUCACCAUCUCUCUCCGCCACCAUCGCCAACUACAGCCGCACCGCGCCACCUCUCCGGCCGACCCCGCACUGCGUCGUCGCCUCCCUUGGUUCUGCAAGGACGAGGAGACCCUCGGCCACCGCCCAGCUCGCGUCCCAACCACUGGAAUCCAUUUCCCCUCGCGCACCGGUCGAGGAGGUGCUCGGCCGCCCUUCCUCACCUGCCGGUCGUCGUCGGUGCUUCGCUCGCGCUGUUUUUCCGCGGGGCGCCGCUGCCUCUCCUCGUCGUCGGCCGCCUUCCCGCGUCGCCUCCUCGCUGCUUCGGCGCUCGUGAGUAUAUUGCGCCGUUUCAGAAGUCCGCGGUCGUGAGGAAAAGAGUUCAGAAGAUCGAAGUGAAGAAGAAGGGCAAGUCACACAUUCCCCUUGAGCAUGUUGAUUAUUAGAUACCAUUAAUUGGAGUAAUAUUUAGUAAUGUAAGCACGGUGCUUAGAUUAUUAGAUACCAUUAAUUGGGGUAAUAUACAGUGGAUCAGAGGCCGGCCGCUGAUGGUGAAGGAUUAGUGCAGGUGUCCUCUACAUGUGUAUAUUAUCCUAAGUGCAAUUUCCUGGGGAGGGUACUCCUCCGUAUUUAGCCCCGGUUGGAUGGCCAUGACAGGUUGUCGUAAGGAACUCGGCAACCAGGGGCGGUCUCUCGAAACACUAGGAGGACACUGGGUACGAGGUAUUGGUUGCAUGAUUGUAUACUAGUAAGUAUAGAUUAAAGAUGUAUAUAUACUAGAAGUACAGGAAUGAUACUUUUAUUAUUCUUUCUCCAUUUAGCUUAGACUAUAUUUUAGUGAGAGUAGUUCUUAGUUCUUUCUUCUGUGUGUCACCCUACCCUUUGAACUAAAUUAACCCCUGCAUAGACUUGAUGUAUAUAAGUAAUAUAUGAAUUGUUAGCA